CGUGCUUAACACAUGCAAGUCGAACGGUGAAAGCGGAGCUUGCUCCGCUGGAUCAGUGGCGAACGGGUGAGUAACACGUGGGCAACCUGCCCCUGACUUCGGGAUAACUCCUCGAAAGAGGUGCUAAUACCGGAUACGAAUCCUGCAGGCAUCUGCGGGAUUGGAAAGUUUUUCGGUCAGGGAUGGGCCCGCGUCUGAUUAGCUAGUUGGUGGGGUAAUGGCCCACCAAGGCGACGAUCAGUAGCUGGUCUGAGAGGAUGGUCAGCCAAAUUGGGGGUGAGAAACGGCCCAAACUCCUACGGGAGGCAGCAGUGGGGAAGAUUGGAAAAUGGGCGCAAGCCUGAUCCAGCCAUGCCGCGUGAGUGAGGAAGGCCUUAGGGUUGUAAAGCUCUUUCGUCCGGGACGAUAAUGACGGUACCGGAAGAAGAAGCCCCGGCUAACUUCGUGCCAGCCGCCGCCGUAA
rnacentral:rRNA from 1 species